AGAGUUUGAUCCUGGCUCAGAACGAACGCUGGCGGCGUGCUUAACACAUGCAAGUCGCGUGCGCAGUUUCCGUAGCAAUACGGGGAUGGGCGCACGGCGCACGGGUGCGUAACACGUGGGCAAUCUGCCCUCCGAUGGGGAAUACCCCCGCGAAAGCGGGACUAAUUCCGCAUAACAUUCCUUGGAUUAACUUUCGAGGAUUCAAAGCAGCAAUGCGUCGGAGGAGGAGCCCGCGCCCGAUUAGCUAGUUGGUGAGGUAACGGCUCACCAAGGCAAUGAUCGGUAGCUGGUCUGAGAGGAUGGCCAGCCACACUGGAACUGAGACACGGUCCAGACUCCUACGGGAGGCAGCAGUGGGGAAUCUUGCACAAUGGGCGAAAGCCUGAUGCAGCGACGCCGCGUGGGGGAUGAAGCUUUUCGGAGUGUAAACCCCUUUCGACUGGGACGAAUGCCUCGCAAGAGGAGUGACGGUACCAGUAUAAGAAGCCCCGGCUAACUACGUGCCAGCAGCCGCGGUAAGACGUAGGGGGCCAGCGUUGUUCGGAAUUACUGGGUGUAAAGGGUUCGUAGGCGGUGUGGCAAGUCGGGAGUGAAAUCUCUGGGCUCAACCCAGAGACUGCUUCCGAAACUGCUGUGCUUGAGUGUGAGAGAGGCUCGUGGAAUUGCAGGUGUAGCGGUGAAAUGCGUAGAUAUCUGCAGGAACACCCGUGGCGAAAGCGGCGAGCUGGAUCACUACUGACGCUGAGGAACGAAAGCUAGGGGAGCAAACAGGAUUAGAUACCCCCGUAGUCC
rnacentral:rRNA from 1 species